UGAUCCUGGCUCAGAUUGAACGCUGGCGGCAGGCCUAACACAUGCAAGUCGAGCGGUAACAGGGGAAGCUUGCUUCUCGCUGACGAGCGGCGGACGGGUGAGUGAUGUAUGGGGAUCUGCCCGAUAGAGGGGGAUAACCACUGGAAACGGUGGCUAAUACCGCAUAAUCUCUUAGGAGCAAAGCAGGGGAACUUCGGUCCUUGCGCUAUCGGAUGAACCCAUAUGGGAUUAGCUAGUAGGUGGGGUAAUGGCUCACCUAGGCGACGAUCCCUAGCUGGUCUGAGAGGAUGAUCAGCCACACUGGGACUGAGACAAGGCCCAGACUCCUACGGGAGGCAGCAGUGGGGAAUAUUGCACAAUGGGCGCAAGCCUGAUGCAGCCAUGCCGCGUGUAUGAAGAAGGCCCUAGGGUUGUAAAGUACUUUCAGUCGGGAGGAAGGCGUUGAUGCUAAUAUCAUCAACGAUUGACGUUACCGACAGAAGAAGCACCGGCUAACUCCGUGCCAGCAGCCGCGGUAAUACGGAGGGUGCAAGCGUUAAUCGGAAUUACUGGGCGUA
rnacentral:rRNA from 1 species